GUGCCAGCCACCGCGGUUAUACGAGAGGCCCAAGUUGACAAACAACGGCGUAAAGAGUGGUUAGGGGAUUUACUAAACUAGAGCCGAACGCUUUCAAAGCUGUUAUACGCACCCGAAAGUAUGAAACCCAAUUACGAAAGUAGCUCUACUUAUCCUGAACCCACGAAAGCUAAGGAACAAACUGGGAU
rnacentral:rRNA from 1 species